CACAUAUAUCUACCCAUUCCAUCUCCAGAACUACCUAAAAAUAUUCUACUCCUAAUCCGGGAGAGAAUAACCAAAAAUAUUUCUGUUUUCCCCUUGUAAAAUAAAUGCUCAAGAUAUCUUGUUACUACCACUUGCUAUAUUAUCUCAAGAGAUGAAUGCUCUAAAAAAAGGAAUAAUACGAGGAAAUAAAAAGGAGCAAGUGCUCGGAACCUCGAAAGAAAAGAAAAAGUGAGACGAGAGGUAAAAAUAGACAAGUGUCCGACAGUAGAAUUAGGGGUGCAAGAUACCCACCUGAGAGAAAAGAAAAAGAAGAGCAUCUCAUUCUCCUCAUAAAGUUUCAAAAGCAAGGAAGGUAUGUAUCCCCUCAAAGAGCAAAAGUAGAAUUAGACUUCCACCACCAUUGUUUUCAUCAUUGUUAUCACCAUCAUCACCAUACACCAUUCAUUCGCCACACAUGCACAUCUUGAUUAAACUUAUUGACUUGUUACUUUGGAUCCAUGGUUUGACUAUGCAAUAAAUGUCUUGUAAGUAUGUAUACUUUAUCUCCCACCUAUGAGCUCCAGAUAUUAAAGCCUUAUUAGAGUAGGGUGAGAGAAAAGGCAAUGUCACUAUGCCUCAUACCACAAAUACCACAUAUCUUGAGAGAAGGCAUAUACCAUCACUGCCUUGGUAAGGAUCCAAAAAUACCACAAAAGAGAGACCUGAGAGAAUCAUACAAGGAAUCUCUGAGUUUUAUUUGAAAAUCUGCAAAAACCCCAGAGCUAUAGCUGAUCAAGAAUAAGAGACAUGGCACUUGGCUAGACUAUUCUAUCUUUUAACCACUCAAGACAGAAGUGACGGUUACA
rnacentral:lncRNA from 1 species